rnacentral:misc_RNA from 2 species
CUCAACCCUUAAGCCCCUGUUGCUUAGCGUUGGGAGCCUACUGCCCGUAGCUCCUCAAAUCCAUUGGCGGAGUCGACCUCACGCUCCGGACGUAGUAGACACCUCUCGUCCGCAGCUGGGCCGGCCCCCUGCCGUUAAACGCCAAAUCUCCAG